GUAGAUCGCCGUCGUCCCCUCCCGAAUCGCCAUCCGUGUAUUCCUCCCCACCGCAAGACCUUCCUCUCCCUCCCAUCUACCGAUCCAUUCCUCCCCUCCGCCUUCCAGCCACAAGAGCUCCACCUCCACCCGGGCUCGCCGCCGGCGGAGGACCACAUCUGGGAGAUGCAAAGUGGAGCACGCUGCGCCACUCAACAUCGAGAUCCGCUUCUUGGGUCGACCCUUCGACAGCGCCCCCCUGGCAGACCCGGGCAACAACAUUGUGCUUCGUGGUGCUGCAGUGGCCGCUGGAGACCCGUCGACGGGGAGCCCCCCAAGACCCUCUAUCAGCUCCACCGAUGCCAUGAGAGCGCAAGAAGGCUGACCCCCUAUGGCUGCGAAUAGGGCCAUGGUUGCUGCUGGCACUCGAGCAAGCCGACGCCGACUAUGACCAUGUCCCCAUGAGUCAACAGACUGGUGACUACGCCGCUGGGAGCACCUCGCCAGGAACAUGCAUACCUCCCUCCCGUGUCUCCUUCAACCCGCCAUGAAUUUCUUGGUUUCACUCGCUGGCUGAUCGACUAACAGAGAAAAAAUUGCAGCAGGGCAGUGGAGUUGAGGCUCCGUGCCUCUGCCAUGCUUGUAUGUAGGUGUAGAUCCUAUAUCUCUGAUAAUAGCACAUAUUGCAGCUUUGGAAUGUUUGCCACCGGAGGGUGUGAUAGAUUUGUGAAUGUGUGGGAUGACAUUAAUAAGAAAAUACUAUAUCAAGUAAAGCAAUUGAAGAGUUUUGCUUCAUUGGGAUGCUUCAUUGGAAAAUACAUUAACACGCCUCUUAUUGAAGAACACAGCUGCGGCGAGCUGGGAUGGAUCAAGCACUUGGGUGAGAGUUCUUCGCGCAGGGCUGGAGUGCUACUUCCAGUAUUGCUUGCAGCUCGAGGAGUUGAUGAGAUGCAACGGCGGAAUGCCAAGUUGGGGUGAGGGCUAUGCUGGUCAGGAACAUGAUGCAAAUUAGGGUGUCCCUUCAUUCUAUAAGGAAUCAUAAAAGCAUACGGAGGAACUAUGUAUAAGCUACAAAGAAGCACUACAAAGAAGCAUAAAAAGAAUUUUUAUAGCAUAAGCCAAGUGUUCUGAUGAUUUUGUUUUUUCAAUUGUAUUUUCUGUUAUUGGUUCAGCAUGCACAUAUAUUGACAUGAUUUAUGGCAUGGCAUCUGUCAUCUUUGUUAUAUUUAUGACAUCAUUCUUGAUUGAUGUGUGCGACAUGAAUGAUGGAUCUUUUUAACAUCCUGACCAUCAUUGUGUCGCUCAUUAUCGUAUUUUGUAUAUCAUUUAUAGGUUCACAGAUAUGAAACGAUAGAUUUCUU